CAGCGCGCCAUGGCGGCUUGGCUCGGGACUGUAACGAUGGCUCCUCAUGGCAGGUUGACGCUCCUACAAUGAGUUUUGCAGCACAAAUUGAUGAGCUAUUUUGUAAUCUAUUCUUCUGUACCUGCUUCACGGACGUGCCCAACAGGUACAGGAGAGAUGUAGCCCACUGCUACAUCCUGCAGCAGGCAAGUACUGAGAAUUCUUCAACUCCUGGAAGGCCAUAGAACUUCAGUGACCUCUGAUUUAUACCCAAGUGUGUCCAGAAGUCCUUUGAUGCCAAUGGUGGUCUGUUUCCGAGGGUCGUCUGACUACUGCCUGGUCGACGCUUCACCUCACCCACGCCAAGUUCAGCUCUGGAGACUUUAAUUUGGGAUCUGAGGUUCGAGACACCCUCCAGUUCGUGUCCUCUCAGAGAGUGGCGCUAGUCCAUUGCAGUCUGGCCUUCUUCGGAUCCAACUGUGAUCGCGUUUUAGGACUUCUGCUCGGAGGUGGCUGCAGGCGUGGCCAGAAUCUCCGGCUUCACAAUCUGAUGACGUACUCUGCAUACGCCAGUCCGUUGACACUGGGUCGUCCUAUAACCGAGUGGUGUCCAGGGGGGGCGUGGGCCAUUUUCAUCGCACUAAACUGAAGAAACGACUUCCCCAGCGUCACUCUGCAGAAGAGCAUCUGCCUGAAAUGCAGAAACGUACAGAAUGAUACCGUCAAUGGAAAUGAUACAAACACCGAUAGACGUCAAUAAAGCGGCAGCUUUGGAAUAUGACCGGCAAGAAGAAGCGAGUUGUUGGGACAAAUAGGAAACGAGAAACAUGCCACCAUGACUGGAACUCCUUGUCGUCCGUUGCCAGGUCGAUCAGCACGGUGCCCUGGCUGGAGCAGUGGAACGACAGAGGUUUUCUACUAAUCCUCUUCUGCAACAACAAACAUAUCAACAGCGGGGCUUUACAGAGCGAACAGAAGGAGGUGUCUCGGAGGUGUUCCAGCCCUAGACUCUUCAAGAACUGGUUGAUAGUCAUGUCGAGCAGAGCUGCAGAGACACGGUGAUGUCAGCGAUGCUCCGUCUGCUGGACCGGUGGCCCCGCCCACAGUGAUGUCACCGAGGGGCGUGGUCAGGUUGUCUAUGCUGCUGGCUGCAGACAGGCAGGACGGGGAUGGAGACGGAGAGAUGACCACGCCCCCUGCUGCACCUGUA